GACGAACGCUGGCGGCGUGCCUAAUACAUGCAAGUUGAGCGCUGAAGGUUGGUACUUGUACCAACUGGAUGAGCAGCGCACGGGUGAGUAACGCGUGGGGAAUCUGCCUUUGAGCGGGGGACAACAUUUGGAAACGAAUGCUAAUACCGCAUAAAAACUUUAAACACAAGUUUUAAGUUUGAAAGAUGCAAUUGCAUCACUCAAAGAUGAUCCCGCGUUGUAUUAGCUAGUUGGUGAGGUAAAGGCUCACCAAGGCGAUGAUACAUAGCCGACCUGAGAGGGUGAUCGGCCACAUUGGGACUGAGACACGGCCCAAACUCCUACGGGAGGCAGCAGUAGGGAAUCGUCGGCAAUGGACGAAAGUCUGACCGAGCAACGCCGCGUGAGUGAAGAAGGUUUUCGGAUCGUAAAACUCUGUUGGUAGAGAAGAACGUUGGUGAGAGUGGAAAGCUCAUCAAGUGACGGUAACUACCCAGAAAGGGACGGCUAACUACGU
rnacentral:rRNA from 1 species